GUGGAUUUCUCCGGCGAUCAAUCGUCGUCUCUUCCGUUUCCCGUGGGGAAUAGGUAUUAGUGAAAAAAGGAUGGAGAUGAAACAGCAGUUAGAGUGGAAUGAAGCUCAGAAGACUCUGAUAAAUGUGGACCUUGUUGCUGCAGCUAAAGAACAGCUCAAGUUUCUUGCUACCGUUGAUAGAAACCGUUGGCUGUAUGAAGGCCGUGGCCUGGAUAAAGCCAUUCAUAGGUACUACUCAUGUUGGCUACCACUGUUGGCAAAACACUCUGAGUCCCCCUACUUUGACGGGCCCUUGGUUGUUCCUUUGGACUGUGAAUGGAUUUGGCAUUGUCACAGGCUCAAUCCUGUUAGAUACAAGACUGACUGUGAGAAUUUAUAUGGGAGAAUUCUUGACAACCAUGAUGUUGUAUCUUCUGUGAAUGCGAAGUCAAAAAAGGAUACCGAAGAACUGUGGAAACACUUGUAUGCAAACGAGCCUUAUGAUUUGGACUCAGCUAGAGCUCUUUCAGAAGAUGUCCAUGCAAAAGCUGAAAAGUACAGUGAUUAUGAUCUAGUCUCUGCUGUUUCACGGCAAAGCCCAUUCUUCUACCAGGUGUCUAGACCACACAUAAACAACAAUCUCUAUCUUGAAGGUGCUGUGGCUCGAUACAAGGGUUUCUUACAUCUGAUCCGGAGAAACAAAGAAAGAUCCAUUAAGAGCUUCACUGUUCCAACUUAUGACAUAGACCUUAUCUGGCACACUCACCAGUUACAUCCUGCUUCUUAUUGCAAAGACCUUGUUGACAUUAUGGGUAAGGUUUUAGAACAUGAUGACACUGACUCAGAUCGAACAAAAGGGAAAAAGUUGGAUACUGGCUUUUUUCGAACUACAAGGCAGUGGGAAGAAACAUAUGGUUUAAGAUAUUGGAGGGCAGGUGCUAUGUAUAGAGGCAGUUCACCAUCUCCUCUUGGGAAUUCUUAUUACCCCUCCAACCCUGUAAGCAAGAGCGCAGAUAUUUUCCAUGAACACCAAAAGAUAAUGCAGUAUCCUGAGAUGGAAGCAGUAGAAGUUAUGUUAGAGCUUGUAGAUAUCAGAAAUUUACCAGAAGGACGCGAGGGAAGCUUCUUUGUCUCAUUUAGCAAGACUCAGCCCGAUAGAAUCUUCAAUGCAAAGAGAAAACUUACUAUUUUGUCCAUCACUGGGGAAAAACAGGUUGCUUCUUUCCAAUGUGAACCUAAUGGUCAUCUUCUUUUUGAUCUCAUGUCAUGCUCAUCGUCUGGUUUACCUAUUCCGAAACCUGUUAAAUCUGUGGGUUCUGUUAAAGUCUCUUUAGAAGAUCUGGUUUGCCCGACUUCGAAACUUACAAUGGAAAAGUGGUUGGAAGUUGUGCCAAGCUCUAAAAUGGAAGCACUAAAGCCAAUCUGUUUACGAGUAGCUAUCUCAGUUACAACACCUACUGCAGCACCAUAUGUCUUUCACUUUGUCCGUCCUCGAGCAUUCUCCAAAAAUUCUUGCUUAUUCCCACUUCCUGGAAGGAUUCAGCAUGCUAAGAAUUGGACUCGCAUCAUUGAUGAUGCUGGUGAUGAGGUCAUUAGCCUUCAAAUGAGGGACUCGAAGAAAUCCAAGGGUGAAACUGAUUCUACAUUGCACAAGGAGGUGGUUGGCGUCAGCAAGUUCGGCGAGGUACAUUCUCUUGCUGAGUUAGUAGGGAAAGAGUGGUUGCUGUUAGGUGCUCAGUGGUCUCUUCAACUUCAAACAUCCAGCUGUGAUGAUGGCCAGCUUUUUGAGUUGGCUGGUCAGAGGAAUGUGAAAUUCUUCCCUGGUCAGAGGCUGGAUUAUGAGCACAAGUAUUGUACAAAGCAAAGGAGUGAAGAUGAUUUUAUGACAGCGGUAGAGUUCUCUGCACAGGAUCCUUAUGGAAAGGCAGUAGCGUUGGCUGACUUGAAAUUUGGAGUUAUCAAUGUGAAAGAGGAGUGGUUUCUUUUGCCUGGUUCUAUAACAGCUUUUGUACUUUGUGAUACGUUGAAGAAGGAAGGGUAUAGUAGCUUGGUAGGCAGUGCCAAACAUUCGAAAGAGAAGUUGUCCACUCAAGAAACUGAUGUGUGCCAUGAAGAGGACAACAGAGCUAAUCUGGAAUCUGAGACAGAGAAGGGUGUGAAGUUGGACCUGGAGGCUACCAAAGGAAGCAUUGUAGCACCCGCAAAUGAAGCAAUCAGUGGAGGCUGCAAUAAUCUUAUGAAGAGGGGAGCCUGUGGUAGUUGUGGUGCUGUUUUUGGAAACAAAUUAAAGAGUGGUGGUUGUGGUUGUGGAAGUAUGUUAGAAAGCGGUGGUUGUGGUGGCAGUGGUUGUGGAGGCUGUGGAAGUAUGUUAGAAAGCGGCGGCUGUGGUGGUGGUGGCUGUGGAAGUAUGUUAGAAAGUGGUGGCUGUGGA
rnacentral:misc_RNA from 1 species